rnacentral:tRNA from 1 species
GGGGGGAACGUUUCCUCCCAGGACUAU